AACAAUCAAAAUAGCAAAAUUAAAAAUCCAUCUUCUACCCUUACAUCCCCACGCAUACCAGUCAAGAAAAUCGCUUCACAUGUUCUAGUUUGAAACGAUUCAACGAAAAUGCUAGCUCUCAUCUGUAGAGCCCAAAUAUGCCCGGGCCCAAUAAAAUUAACUCUAGCCCAAUAACCCUUACAAAACAUAAGCUAAACCCAGACCCAACUACACCUGAAAUGGCCCAAACACAAAAACUUCAGAAACCCUAAGUAGCCGCCACCCUCAAGCGCCCCAGCAGUCUCCAGCCACCGCAGGUUUCGGCCUCCACGCAUGCCGUUUCUCCGCAAACACCGCUCCUCAAGCACGUACCUGCAACAAGCGAAAGAGAAGAGCAAAAAAAUCGGGCCAACAAACAACCGAGUAGAUUUAUUAGGAUUUAUUUUUCUUUCUCUUUUCUUUCCCAUUUUCGGCUAUAAAAGAGCCGAUUAAGCACUGUAAAUGGGGGAUUUUGCAGGGUAAAAACACAAACAGAAAUCAGAGAAAAGAUUAAAAGUACAGAUUCGAUUUUUUAACAAAGAUUUUUUUCCGUCUUAUUUAAUUAGUGUUCGUCAUUUACGUUUCUUUUUUUCCUUUUUUAUUUCGUUUAAAAUAUAAAAAAAAAGAAAGGAAGCUUACCUCUUUCGCCGGAGUCGUCGAUCGGCGCCACCUCCGUCGCAAUCAGAGCUGUGGCGCACGGUGGAACGGGCGGCGCGGCGGCUUAGGUUUAGAACCCUAGCAGAGAACAGAAAGGGGGGAGGGGUGCAUCAUUUUUUUUUUUUUUAAAAUGGUUUAUGAAUUUUUUUUAAAAGGAAAAAUUAGGUUUUAUUGAAAUUUCAAAAUGGCGCCGUUUUAUCCAAGCCUUGACCCGCGUGGUGACCCGACCCGAGGGGGAGGAUCCGCGCGUUUGGCUUUAAAGGUUUAAUUGCGCAAUUGGCCCCUCUUUUCUGUGAUGCAUUCCAAUUAAGUCCUUUCGACUUAUUUUAAAAAUUAGGCAGCGUAUUUGAUCCGCGUUUCAAUUCAGCCCACUGCUGCGCAACGUUUCUGGAGGGAGGGAAUAAUUUCCCUUUUAGUCCCCCAUAGUUGCGCGCGUGUUCAAGUGGGCCCUUUCUUUUAAAAUUUUAUUCAAAAUUCGUCCUAUUUUUUGUUUUUAUGUUCAAUUUAGCCCAUUUUAGCUAUUUUUCUUAUUUUUUUAUUUUUAAAUAUUUAUCAUUAUAUCGUUAUUUAUUAUUAUGGUUAUUAUCAUUAUCUCUAUAUUCAUACACGCAUGGUUUUUACAUAAUAUAUUUAUAUAUGCAUUUUUUUUAUAUAUAUAGCACAUACGCAUAUUUUUAUAUAUAAUAUAUAUAGGCAUUUUUUUAAUAUAUAUGUUUUUAAGCUUUUAUGAAUACAUGCAUAUCUUUUAUUCAUACGAUUUUUAUAUUUUUUUAUAUUUUUUUAAAACCUUUAUAUACUUUAUAUCUUAUAUAUACUUAUACCUUUUUAUUUUGUAAAUAUAUGCACAUAUACGUUUCUUUAUCUUUAUUUUAUUUUUAUGAUUUUCACAUACAUAUAUACAUGCAUUAUUAUUAGUUUUUUUUUUGGUUUGAUGUAUUUCGUUCCUUCUUUUUGUUUGCAAAUUUACUUGUAUAUUGUACUUGUAUAUAUUUGUAAAUAUUUAUUCAUUUAUAUACGUUUCAUGUUAUACCUUAACCCUUUUUAGCAUCCAUUUUAAAAAUAUAUUUCGAUUUUCUCAAAGUAUUUAAAUGAUCCUAUUUUAUAAACUCCAAAAUGUUUGGCAUUCAUGAUUCUCGUGAAAGAUCGUGGCCUAACUUACUGGAUCGCGGUUAUUUUUCGAUGAGUUUAGAAAGCCAAAUAUUUAUUUUGCAAUAAAUUCAAAUUUUAAAUAAAAACUUAUUCUCGGGAAUUCAAAAUGUUGGGUCCUAACUUACUGGUCAUGACAUUUUCUUCCCGAAAUAAGAAUUUUCAAAAACAAAAGGCAAUAUUAGGGUAUUUUGAAGAUUUAAAAACAUUGUGCCCUAACUUACUGGGUGUGGUGUUUUAUUUCUUUGAAAUAAGAAUUGUCUUAUUAUUUUAAUCCAUUCAUGAAAUAAAGAGUUUCCUUUUAAAAUCUUUUCAAAUUUUCGACACCAAGGCAUUAAAAAAAAUCAAUUUGGUACCAAUUUUGGGCGUUACGAGGGUGCUAAUCCUUCCUCGUGCGUAACUGACUCCCGAGCCUGUUUUCUCGAAUUUCGCAGACCAAAAUUAUUUUUAAGGUGGGCCGAUCACACCUCAAUAAAGGAUCGGUGGCGACUCCAGAUUUUGUUUUUAUUUUCAAGUCGAAACUAAAAUUUUUGUUUUCAAAAAACGGUCUCGACAGCUUGGCGACUCCACUGGGACAUUAGAGAGUCGAGCCAUAAACUGAUCAUAUUUGUCUUUGUGUCGAAAAUCAAAAGUUUUUAAAAAAUUCAUGAGUUCCCUUCGCACUCAUUGAUGUUUUAUCAUGGUAUUUUGGCAACUUUGCAUUUGCAUUUUGCAUUUCACCCUUUAAGUGGGAGCGAGAAACUAGUCCUCCGUGAGGUUUUCAUCUCCGUGCAGGGUAAUGGACCGCUUCCGGGAUACAUCCGUACCUAUGUCUUCGUGAGAUUUUCAUCUCCGUGCAGCCAUAGGGAAAUGUAUUCCCCUGAACUGAACUCGAUCCAUAUGAGCCUAUAAUGGGUGAAGAUCGAGGAAUCUGCUGGUUCGGGUACCUUUACCUUAGAAGCCAAACCGCAUAUAGUGAACCUUAGGAACUUACCCUAGGUAGAAUUACUCUAAACCUUAGUAGAUUCCUGACUAGGAGUUUUUAUUAUUUCUUGAUUGUAUUGGAUUUAAUGUUUAUACCCGAUACUAACCCGUUUUGUUUUGUUUUGGUUAUGAUUGAAUUGCAUUUUCAUUGUAGAAAAGAGAUGUUGAUUCAAGUUUGAUUACUAGUUUAGAAAGCCUAUCAUAAGAAAACGGGUUUCUUGAUAAAAUGGAAAAUAGUACGGCAGCCUGAAUAUAUUUCAAGAAAUACAAGAAGGGCGAUGGAAGAAUUCGUGACUUUACUUUGGGGCCCGAGGAUUCAAGAUGAUUUGUCUAAGAGCUUUCAACAUUCCAAAUUUCUUAAAGAAGCUAAUGAGCAUUACGAGGAUAGGCAGGCAAUGGAUUGUGACCAGAAUCAAGCAGAAGGAGCUAGCAGUGACAUCCAUUGGAAGUUCGCGAGGUUUAUCUUAACAUUCGGAUGAAAAAGGAGAAGAUGUCUUUGCUUCGAGUAUGAAGGCAAAGCCGUAUAUAUAUCUGCUUUAUGUAAAGAAAUUUGUCCUCUAGUAAGGUUUUCUAAAUGGAAUUAAAUCAGAAUCAACGUCUCUUUAUGCAUUCAUUUCAUGCAUUCGCAUUUCAUUACAUCAUAUGCAUCAAAGAUUAUUCAAAGAUCCUAAUUAACUAAAAUUAUUGCUCAGUUAACCUGGAAUCCAACCAACCAACCCAACACCGAUACGGCACUCGAGCAAAGACAAAAGAUAUGGAUCAGAGAUUAGAAAAGCUCGAACAGUACCAGAAGGAGAUGCAAGACCGGCUUCAGUUACAAAUGCAGGAGCGGUUAGACAAGAUGAAACAAGAGAUGUCUGAGAAGAUACGAGAAUCCCAAGAAGAUAUAGUGGCAAAGUUAACCCAACUGUAACUAAGGGAAGUGAUAAAGGAAAGGGUCCCAUGGCAAAUGUCGAUGAGGGAAAUGAUGAUGAAAUUCUUCACACUUCAGGUUUCACCCCUCCACAUAUGCGAGCCCAAGCUGAAUACCCGCGCAAAUCUACUGUCACUAUCAUGCCUCAGCAGUUUCGGGCUGGUAUUUCGAACCUCCAAACUGGGCCGGGUUCUAAUCCUGAAAAUAAUCCUGUUAACUCUGCCAUUCCUGACUUUGAUGAAGUGGUUGAGAAGGAAAGAAUGAAGGAGGAGUUACCGAAACAGUUAGAGGAAAGGUGUAGGUGGCUCGAGGAGAAGUUCAAGGCGAUGGAGGUCACUAAGAGUUAUUGAGGCAUUGACGCAAAAGAGCUGAGUUUAGUACCAGGUUUAGUACUUCCUCAUAAGUUUAAGAUGCCUGAAUUUGAAAAGUACAAUGGGACAAGCUGCCCAGAAGCUCACAUCACCAUGUUCUGCAGGCGAAUGGCGGGAUAUGUCAACAACGACCAACUCUUGAUACAUUGUUUCCAAGACAGCCUUGCAGGGGCAGCAUCCAAAUGGUACAAUCAAUUGAGUCGUGCCACGAUUGGUUCAUGGAGGAGCUUGGCGCAAGCAUUAAUGAAACAAUAUAGUCAUCUGACAGACAUGGCUCCUGAUAGAAUCACCCUUCAGAAUAUGGAGAAGAAGCCGAGCGAAAGCUUUAGGGAGUAUGCACAAAGAUGGAGGGAGGUUGCAGUCCAAGUUCAGCCACCACUCUUGGAAAAAGAAAUAACCAUGCUGUUCAUUAACACACUGAAGGCACCAUUCAUUACACAUAUGUUGGGGAGUGCCACAAAAAGUUUUCCCGACAUAAUCAUGAAUGGCGAGAUGAUCGAAAAUGCCAUAAGAAAUGGAAAGAUCGAUGCUGGAGAGAGUAACAAGAGGUCAGUCUCAAGGAGAAGAGAAGAUGAUGUGAACAACAUGGGUUACUCUAAAUCAGUUACUGUAAGUCAGCCAAGAAAGGUGGUUGCUAACCAGCAAGGUUCAUCGAGACAGGAAGCUGGUACAGGACAAAACACAGAGAGGCCCCGAUUCACGCCAAUUUCAGUACCAUAUAGGAAACUGUAUCAAAAUCUGUUUGAUGCCCAUGUUGUUUCCCCUUUUCCUGUGAAGCCUCUACAACCUCCGUAUCCCAAAUGGUAUGAUGCAAACGCGCAAUGUGAAUACCAUGCGGGAAUUACGGGACACUCGAUUGAGAAUUGCACUGCCUUCAAGAAGCAAGUUGAAAGACUCAUCGACAUGGGUGUUGUCAAGUUUGGUGACUCAUCAAGUGCAGAAAAUCCAUUACCCAAUCAUGAUUGAUAAUGGAGGGAAUGCAAUGCAUUCUGUUCAGAUAUUCGCUUGGGAUGUGUUAAAAAUAAUGAGACUGCAGAGGAAACCCCUAUAUUAUUUAGAGUCUGUUAGAGUAAUGUUCAGAACACAUUUGUUGCUUUUAGCUUAGAAGCAAUAAGAACUCUUUUGUGAAAUAGGCUCAUGUCUGAACAUUAUUAUUUUUAAUGAAUACAUUAUUGCAAUCAUCUUUGAGCAAAUGUUCUUUCAUUCUUUACGAUUUUUUUCCAUUCUUUUGGAUUUCUUCUGCCAAACCAUUCAUUCGUUCAUUCAUAUUAUUCAUACAUUUUUUGUAUAUCCUUUAGCACCUACAAUAGGUCCUUGGAUAUCAAUGACAUGAGUGACGCUGCUACAAACUCAGAAUCUCCUUUUGAGUGAGAUAUGUGUUUAGAGGGAUCUCACAACUUUGAAGAUGACAUGGAUUGUAGCUUAUCUCCAGACUUGUUGUGGCAUGGUCAUACCAGGAUAUGCCCAGGUUAAGCACUGUCAUUGCAAUCUGAACAAUAGCACGAUAUCAGAAAUUUACAGUAUGUUCAAGAUUAAUAUCAUGAAUGAUGCAGUGAAAAUUCUACCGGAGCAGUGCCUCUCUUUUUAGUUCAUCACAGUUUUUUCUAUUGAAGUUGAAAUUCUUUCUCUCCGGUAUUGGCUGAGCAAGUUGGAUGAAGCAGAAUAGAUCCGAUCGGAAUGUGAUCAAUUGAACUUGAUAGAAGGAAGAAGAUUAAAAGCUAUUCAUCACGGUCAGAUGUACCAGAAAUGAAUGAUGCAAGCCUAUAACAAAAGGUUCAUCCUAGAGAAUUCCACGAGGGUGACCAAAUGUUGAAGAUCCUCCAUCUACAAAAAAAUAUUAUGGAGGGAAACGGAUGCCAAAUUGGGAGGAACCUUAUGAUUAUAGAGAAUGUUUUUUUUCCAAAGGAGCUUUGAUUUUGAGCGAGAUGGAUGAUAAACCUGUAAAGUCCUGUAAACUCUGAUUCAGUCAGGAAAUUCUCCGCUCAAAGAAGGAAAGGACCAAGGUAAAAACCCGCAAAGGGAAGUUUGAGUCCAAAAAAAAAAAAGAAAAAGAAGUGAUGUGAAAAAAUGAAAAGAUGAAAAUGAAAAAUGAAAAAGUAAAAAUGGAGAGGCUAAGGUGAAAACCCGCAAAGGGCGCCUUAGACCAAAGGGGAUUUGAGUUGAAAACCCAAAAAGGGCAGCUCAAAUGUUGAUCAAAAUGGUGUUUGAAAUUUUCAGAGCAGCUCAAAUACUAAUCAGAAUAGGGGCUUGCAGUGGUCUUGCUAUACCUGAAUCAACAAGAAAGGGUAGGGGACAUCUUGGGGCAUCGACAAAGUACUCCUAAACACAUGUUAAACUCAGAAUGGUCUUCAGAAAGUCUGUACAGUAAAGUUCAAGCUGCGAUAUCUGGGGCACCUAAUCCUUAUACUAUUUUUGUUAUUCUUGGAACACUUUAUUCAUUUCCAAGAUACGCAUUCCUAAAUCAAUGUCUUUGUUAUCCAUCUUUAUUAUCUCUGAUAAUUUAUUCAUUUCGAGUUAUGCUCAGAACCAAUUCAAUUUUAUCCAUCAUUUUGUUCUCUUUGCAAGUGUGUUGCAUUAGAAUAAUGAUUAAUAGACUAAUAAAACUUUCACAAGGGAAGUUUUGCAUAUUACUCUAGAAUUUUCUAAAUAAUAUAGGAAUCUUAAGCAGGACUAUUGUUNNNNNNNNNNNNNNNNNNNNNNNNNNNNNNNNNNNNNNNNNNNNNNNNNNNNNNNNNNNNNNNNNNNNNNNNNNNNNNNNNNNNNNNNNNNNNNNNNNNNNNNNNNNNNNNNNNNNNNNNNNNNNNNNNNNNNNNNNNNNNNNNNNNNNNNNNNNNNNNNNNNNNNAAGAAGUUGUUCUUGGAAAAGAUUUCUUCAUUUGUGCAUGAGCAUUUGGUACAACACCUUGGGAAUGGUGUAAGAGACAAAAAAGUUUCACAUCCUGUAUCCUUGAAUUGUGAUAACAGAGGAUUGAGAAAAGGCCGAAUCUUUUUACUCUUGGGUUACAACGGGAGAAAGAUGAUACAAAUUUUGCGCCCCAAUAGAUCAAACUUGGAGGUUUACAGUGGGGGGCAAUCUGGUCAAGUGUUUCUUUAGAGACACCAGCCGAGCAAGAAGACGCUAUAACACAUUAGCGAUGAAACUUUAACUUUGAGUAAUGAUAACCCAAGUGAUAAAGAAGGAUCGUUCUCAAAACAUGACAUUCUGCAUUCAUUCAAAUGUCAUUCAUACACGUCUAGUUAGGAGCAUUUNNNNNNNNNNNNNNNNNNNNNNNNNNNNNNNNNNNNNNNNNNNNNNNNNNNNNNNNNNNNNNNNNNNNNNNNNNNNNNNNNNNNNNNNNNNNNNNNNNNNUCAUAAAUUGAAUUAUACAGGUCAUGUUCCCCAGAGGACAAGUCGAAGAAAUCGAUCCUAUCUCCCUGAGGUUGCAGUGGAGCGGAUUGACAUACGGAUCUUAUCUUUCUGAGGUUACAGAGAGUAUAUCAUAUCAAGUCUUAUCUCCCUGAAGUUGCAGUGGAGCAAACUGAAGACUUAAUCCUAUCUCCCUAGCGUUGUAGUGGAGCAGAUUGAAGCCACGACGGCAAAUCUUAUCUCCCUGGCAUUAAGGCUUGGAUUAGUUGAAGUUGAGCAGAUUAAAGCUUGGAACAGAUUGAAGCUACGACGACGGAUCUGGUUUCCCUAAUAUUACAAUUAAAGAGAUUGAAGCCACAACGGUAGAUCUUACUUCCUUAGCAGUGCAGUGGAACAGAUUGAAGCUACGACGGCGGAUCUGGUUUCCCUGAUAUUGCAAUUAAAGAGAUUGAAGCCACAAUGGCGGAUCUUACUUCCUUAGCAGUGCAGUGGAACAGAUUGAAGCUACGACGGCGGAUCUGGUUUCCCUGAUAUUGUAAUUAAAAAGAUUGAAGCCACAACGGCGGAUCUUACUUCCCUGACGGUGCGGUGGAACAGAUUGAAGCUACAACGGCGGAUCUGGUUUUCCUGAUAUUGCAAUUAAAAAGAUUGAAGCCACAACGGCAGAUCUUACUUCCUUAGCAGUGCAGUGGAACAGAUUGAAGCUACGACGGCGGAUCUGGUUUCUCUGAUAUUGCAAUUAAAAAGAUUGANNNNNNNNNNNNNNNNNNNNNNNNNNNNNNNNNNNNNNNNNNNNNNNNNNNNNNNNNNNNNNNNNNNNNNNNNNNNNNNNNNNNNNNNNNNNNNNNNNNNCACAACGGCGGAUCUUACUUCCCUGACGGUGCGGUGGAACAGAUUGAAGCUACGACGGCGGAUCUGGUUUCCCCGGCAUUGCAGUUGAACAAAUUGAAGAUUACAGAUCUUAUCUCCCUAAGCAGUAGUGGAGCAGAUCAAAGAUGGCGGAUUUUACCUCCCUGUGGUUACAAUAGAGUACAUUGAAGCCAGUAACUCUAUCUCCCUGGGCAGCAGUGGAAUAGAUUAAAGAUAACAGAUCUUAUCUCCCUAAGCAGUAGUGGAGCAGAUCAAAGAUGACGGAUUUUACCUCCCUGAAGUUGCAGUAGAGUAUAUUGAAGCCAGUAAUUCUACCUCCCCGGUCGGCAGUGGAAUCGAUUGAAAAAGUAGAUCUUGUCUUCCCAUACUGGUGGUGAAGUAGAUCGAAUAUACAAGUCUUAUCUCCCUGAAGUUGCAGUGGAGCAGACAAAAGUAACCAAUUCUAUCUCCUUGAAGUUGCAACGGAGUGCGUUAAAAUCGCAGAUCUCAUCUCUCUGAAGUUGUAGUAGAACAGAUCGCAUCAAGAUUUAUCCUUAAAUUAUAGUAGAACAAGUUGAAGCUAUAAGACUUAUCUCCCUGAAGUUGCAGAGGAGUAGAUCAAAGAUGGCAAAUUUUGAGAAGCUACAAAGUAUGAAUCCUAUCUCUCUGACAUUGCAGUGGAGUGGAUUGAAGCACCAGUUCCUAUACCUCUGAAGAUGCAGUAGGAAGGAAUGAGGCUAUUCAAAGUAAAAAGUACUAAAAAAGUCGAGGCUCAGUAAGGCCGGGCACAGUUGGGCUUUUAGUCUUUGCUCUAUUCCUGUUACACGACAACGAGCAAAGAGGGCCAGCUGUAGAGCCCAAAUAUGCCCGGGCCCAAUAAAAUUAACUCUAGCCCAAUAACCCUUACAAAACAUAAGCUAAACCCAGACACAACUACACCUGAAAUGGCUCAAACACAAAAACUUCAGAAACCCUAAGUAGCCACCACGCUCAAGCGCCCCAGCAGUCUCCAGCCACCGCAGGUUUCGGCCUCCACGCAUGCCGUUUCUCCGCAAACACCGGUCCUCAAGCACGUACCUGCAACAAGCGAAAGAGAAGAGCAAAAAAAUCGGGCCAACAAACAACCGAGUAGAUUUAUUAGGAUUUAUUUUUCUUUCUCUUUUCUUUCCCAUUUUCGGCUAUAAAAGAGCCGAUUAAUCACUGUAAAUGGGGGAUUUUGCAGGGUAAAAACACAAACAGAAAUCAGAGAAAAGAUUAAAAGUACAGAUUCGAUUUUUUAACAAAGGUUUUUUUCCGUCUUAUUUAAUUGGUGUUCGUCAUUUACGUUUCUUUUUUUCCUUUUUUAUUUCGUUUAAAAUAUAUAAAAAAAGGAAGCUUACCUCUUUCGCCGGAGUCGUCGAUCGGCGCCACCUCCGUCGCAAUCGGAACUGUGGCGCACGGUGGAACGGGCGGCGCGGUGGCUUAGGUAUAGAACCCUAGCAGAGAACAGAAAGGGGGGAGGGGUGCAGUUUUUUUGUUUUAAAAUGGUUUAUGAAUUUUUUUUAAAAGGAAAAAUUGGGUUUUAUUGAAAUUUCAAAACGGCGCCGUUUUAUCCAAGCCUUGACCCGCGUGGUGACCCGACCCGAGGGGGAGGAUCCGCGCGUUUGGCUUUAAAGGUUUAAUUGUGCAAUUGGCCCCUCUUUUCUGCGAUGCGUUCCAAUUAAGUCCUUUCGACUUAUUUUAAAAAUUAGGCCGCGUAUUUGAUCCGCGUUUCAAUUCAGCCCACUGUUGCGCAGCGUUUCUGGAGUGAGGGAAUAAUUUCCCUUUUAGUCCCCCAUAGUUGCGCGCGUGUUCAAGUGGGCCCUUCCUUUUAAAAUUUUAUUCAAAAUUCAUCCCAUUUUUUGUUUUUAUGUUCAAUUUAGCCCAUUUUUGCUAUUUUUCUUAUUUUUUUAUUUUUAAAUAUUUAUCAUUAUAUCGUUAUUUAUUAUUAUGGUUAUUAUCAUUAUCUCUAUAUUCAUACACGCAUGGUUUUUACAUAAUAUAUUUAUAUAUGCAUUUUUUUAUAUAUAUAGCACAUACGCAUAUUUUUAUAUAUAAUAUAUAUAGGCAUUUUUUUAAUAUAUAUGUUUUUAAGCUUUUAUGAAUACAUGCAUAUCUUUUAUUCAUACGAUUUUUAUAUAUUUUUUUAUAUUUUUUUAAAACCUUUAUAUACUUUAUAUCUUAUAUAUACUUAUACCUUUUUAUUUUGUAAAUAUAUGCACAUAUACGUUUCUUUAUCUUUAUUUUAUUUUUAUGAUUUUCACAUACAUAUAUACAUGCAUUAUUAUUAGUUUUUUUUUGGUUUGAUGUAUUUCGUUCCUUCUUUUUGUUUGCAAAUUUACUUGUAUAUUGUACUUGUAUAUAUUUGUAAAUAUUUAUUCAUUUAUAUACGUUUCAUGUUAUACCUUAACCCUUUUUAGCAUCCAUUUUAAAAAUAUAUUUCGAUUUUCUCAAAGUAUUUAAAUGAUCCUAUUUUAUAAACUCCAAAAUGUUUGGCAUUCAUGAUUCUCGUGAAAGAUCGUGUCCUAACUUACUGGACCGCGGUUAUUUUUCGAUGAGUUUAGAAAGCCAAAUAUUUGUUUUGCAAUAAAUUCAAAUUUUAAAUAAAAACUUAUUCUCGGGAAUUCAAAAUGUUGGGUCCUAACUUACUGGUCAUGACAUUUUCUUCCCGAAAUAAGAAUUUUCAAAAACAAAAGGCAAUAUUAGGGUAUUUUGAAGAUUUAAAAACAUUGUGCCCUAACUUACUGGGUGUGGUGUUUUAUUUCUUUGAAAUAAGAAUUGUCUUAUUAUUUUAAUCCAUUCAUGAAAUAAAGAGUUUCCUUUUAAAAUCUUUUCAAAUUUUCGACACCAAGGCAUUAAAAAAAAUUAAUUUGGUACCAAUUUUGGGCGUUACGAGGGUGCUAAUCCUUCCUCGUGCGUAACUGACUCCCGAGCCUGUUUUCUCGAAUUUCGCAGACCAAAAUUAUUUUUAAGGUGGGCCGAUCACACCUCAAUAAAGGAUCGAUGGCGACUCCAGAUUUUGUUUUUAUUUUUAUGUCGAAACUAAAAUUUUUGUUUUCAAAAAACGGUAUCGACAUCAUCCUCUGUUGUAGUGUUAUUUCCAUUCCGGCCGUGGCUGUUAUGUGGUUCUGCACAAAUUCCUAUCGUCAACCACCACAAUCUCCCGAAUUGCCACUGGCCCCUCCUCCACCCAUCAAACAUAUCGCUUCCGAAUGAAGCACUCCGCCGCCAACAAGUGAGCCAACCUAUUACCUCCCUUUUUUAUAUGCUGGAAUUUGAAACUUUCAAAACCUAUUAUAAUCUUUUUAGAUUUCCAGAUGUUAUUACUAACAUUCGAUCUGUCUAUAUCUUGUAUUCUGAGCUAUGAAAUAAUCACGAGUGAGCCUCCUUCAACCUCAACUUCUCGAAACCCAAUCUCUUGGGCAAAUCAAACGACCUGAACAACUGCCACUUGCUAAAGCUUUUGUCACCUCCACAAACAGUAUGUUCCUUUCCCAACUACAUGUUACACCCAUUAUCAAGCCUUUGUUGUCCCCAAUGAUUAUGCCCGAACUUGAUGCCUUCAGGUCACUGUAACAUCUCCUGUCGAAGUUAACCUUGACCAGUCGAUCUUUUGGGGGUAACCACCUCUUUGUUUCUUUAGUCACGCUUCUCGGGUAAGAGUCCUCCAAUAUUUCUAGUUCUUUGAUAUACCGCAGUAAGAAUGUACAUAGUUCACUAUUGGAUUGCCUUUUACCUUUAUGCAAUAAUUUGUUUCUCGAUAGCCAUAGUGCCCAGAUGGUGAUAAUAAUCAGUACCUGUUGCUGAGUAUUUCUAGUAAAUAACUGUUGGAGCCAUUCAAACAACGAUUCCUCUGUCUAAUUAAAAUUCCAAGUGAUACAUAAUUGCUACCAUACUUGUACUACAUAAGGACAAUCUCGGCAAGCAUGAGAAGUAGUCUCUGCUGCCUCUCCACAAGCAAACAUACAUCAUCAUUUACUAGCCUUCUAACUUGCAAAUUAGAUCUAGUGGUAUAUGAUUAUGUAAAACUCU
rnacentral:lncRNA from 1 species